GACGAACGCUGGCGACGCGCUUAACACAUGCAAGUCGAACGGAAAGGCCUGCUUUCCCUUGUGGAUUGCGGGUACUCGAGUGGCGAACGGGUGAGUAACACGUGAGUGAUCUGCCCCCAACUUGGGUAUAAGCCUGGGAAACUGGGUCUAAUUCCCGAUAGGACUGCAGGGUGGUGCCUGUGGUGGAAAACGAUUUUCUAGUGGUUGGGGAUGAGCUCGCGGCCUAUCAGCUUGUUGGUGGGGUAAUGGCCUACCAAGGCGGCGACGGGUAGCCGGCCUGAGAGGGUGGACGGCCACAUUGGGACUGAGAUACGGCCCAGACUCCUACGGGAGGCAGCAGUGGGGAAUAUUGCACAAUGGGCGGAAGCCUGAUGCAGCGACGCCGCGUGGGGGAUGACGGCCUUCGGGUUGUAAACUCCUUUCGACCGCGAGGAAGCCACCUGGUUGGAAGGGUGGUGACGGUAGCGGUAGAAGAAGCACCGGCUAACUACGUG
rnacentral:rRNA from 1 species